rnacentral:lncRNA from 1 species
UGACUCAGGAUGCAAGAUGCUGCACGGGGCAAGCCAUCCAAAGACCACUGGCAGGGGAACUCAAAGGAGAAGAGGCGCUUGAAGGUCCAAAGUCAGCAAGGCCAGCAGGCCGAACAAGGGAUGUCUGCAGAGGACUGCUGGCGGAGAUUCCUGUGGGGACGGAGAGAGACAAGAACGGCAGGUUCUGAGGAGAAACCCUGAUGAGUAUAUGCAAUGCCCCAGCCAUGGGUGAGACCCUGCCACGGCAGCC